rnacentral:tRNA from 1 species
GCGUAGUGGUCACUGCACUCGCCUUGCACGCGGGAGACCCGGGUUCGAUUCCCGG